UACGUAGGGUGCGAGCGUUUGUCCGGAAUUAUUGGGCGUAAAGGGCUCGUAGGCGGUUUGUCGCGUCGGGAGUGAAAACUCAGGGCUUAACCCUGAGCCUGCUUCCGAUACGGGCAGACUAGAGGUAUGCAGGGGAGAACGGAAUUCCUGGUGUAGCGGUGAAAUGCGCAGAUAUCAGGAGGAACACCGGUGGCGAAGGCGGGUCUCUGGGCCGUAACUGACGCUGAGGAGCGAAAGCGUGGGGAGCGAACAGG
rnacentral:rRNA from 1 species